GACGAACGCUGGCGGCGUGCUUAACACAUGCAAGUCGAACGGAAAGGCCUCUUUCGGGGGGUACUCGAGUGGCGAACGGGUGAGUAACACGUGAGUAACCUGCCCUUGACUUUGGGAUAACUUCAGGAAACUGGGGCUAAUACCGGAUAGGAGCUCCUGCUUCAUGGUGGGGGUUGGAAAGUUUCGGCGGUUGGGGAUGGACUCGCGGCUUAUCAGCUUGUUGGUGGGGUAGUGGCUUACCAAGGCUUUGACGGGUAGCCGGCCUGAGAGGGUGACCGGCCACAUUGGGACUGAGAUACGGCCCAGACUCCUACGGGAGGAAGCAGGGGGGAAUAUUGCACAAUGGGUGGAAGCCUGAUGCAGCAACGCCGUGUGCGGGAUGACGGCCUUCGGGUUGUAAACCGCUUUCGCUCAUGACGAAGCUUUGUGUGACGGUAGUGGGUAAAGAAGCACCGGCUAACUACGUG
rnacentral:rRNA from 1 species